rnacentral:rRNA from 1 species
GAUGAACGCUGGCGGCGUGCCUAAUACAUGCAAGUCGAGCGAAUGGAUUAAGAGCUUGCUCUUAUGAAGUUAGCGGCGGACGGGUGAGUAACACGUGGGUAACCUGCCCAUAGGACUGGGAUAACUCCGGGAAACCGGGGCUAAUACCGGAUAACAUUUUGAACCGCAUGGUUCGAACUUGAAAGGCGGCUUCGGCUGUCACUAUGGCUGGACCCGGGUCGCAUUAGCUAGUUGGUGAGGUAACGGCUCACCAAGGCAACGAUGCGGAGCCGACCUGAGAGGGUGAUCGGCCACACUGGGACUGAGACACGGCCCAGACUCCUACGGGAGGCAGCAGUAGGGAAUCUUCCGCAAUGGACGAAAGUCUGACGGAGCAACGCCGCGUGAGUGAUGAAGGCUUUCGGGUCGUAAAACUCUGUUGUUAGGGAAGAACAAGUGCUAGUUGAAUAAGCUGGCACCUUGACGGUACCUAACCAGAAAGCCACGGCUAACUACGUGCCAGCCGCCGCAGUAA